rnacentral:rRNA from 1 species
GACGAACGCUGGCGGCGUGCUUAACACAUGCAAGUCGAACGGAAAGGCCCUGCUUUUGUGGGGUGCUCGAGUGGCGAACGGGUGAGUAACACGUGAGUAACCUGCCCUUGACUUUGGGAUAACUUCAGGAAACUGGGGCUAAUACCGGAUAGGAGCUCCGGCUGCAGGGGGGGGGUGGGAAGGUUUCGGCGGUUGGGGAUGGACUCGCGGCUUAUCAGCUUGUUGGUGGGGUAGUGGCUUACCAAGGCUUUGACGGGUAGCCGGCCUGAGAGGGUGACCGGCCACAUUGGGACUGAGAUACGGCCCAGACUCCUACGGGAGGCAGCAGUGGGGAAUAUUGCACAAUGGGCGGAAGCCUGAUGCAGCAACGCCGCGUGCGGGAUGACGGCCUUCGGGUUGUAAACCGCUUUCGCCUGUGACGAAGCGUGAGUGACGGUAAUGGGUAAAGAAGCACCGGCUAACUACGUG